UCCAGGGUAGCCUAGUGGACAUGGCAUCUGCCCGGUAAGCGAACACAGUGGGUUCGAUUCCCAUCCCUGGAC
rnacentral:tRNA from 1 species